GUGAACUUAAGCCCCAGUAAACGGCGGCCGUAACUAUAACGGUCCUAAGGUAGCGAAAUUCCUUGUCGGGUAAGUUCCGACCCGCACGAAAGGCGUAACGAUUUGGGCACUGUCUCAACAACAGACUCGGUGAAAUUGUAAUUCCGGUGAAGAUGCCGGAUACCUGCGACAGGACGGAAAGACCCCAUGGAGCUUUACUGUAGCUUGACAUUGGGUCUUGGUACUACAUGUACAGGAUAGGUGGGAGGCUUUGAAACCAGGACGCCAGUUUUGGCGGAGCCAUCCUUGGGAUACCACCCUUGUAGUACUGGGACUCUAACCAUAGGCCAUGAAUCUGGUCUUGGGACACUGUCAGGUGGGCAGUUUGACUGGGGCGGUCGCCUCCCAAAAGGUAACGGAGGCGCUCAAAGGUUCUCUCAGUACGGUCGGAAAUCGUACGUAGAGUGUAAAGGCAAAAGAGAGCUUGAUUGCAAGACAUACAGGUCGAGCAAGGAUGAAAAUCGGACUUAGUGAUCCGGUG
rnacentral:rRNA from 1 species